GAAGAAACAAGCCCAGGAGGAGGGACCCAAGGCGCCGACCGUGCAGGGCCUCUGCCCGCGUGUGUGCACACCUGAACUUCUUCAGGGCUUGGGAGCUGCCCGAGGAAGGGGGAGCUUCACAAGGUAAUGGAUCAGGUGAUUGGAGAAAUGGCAAGAGAUGGCAAGCUGUGACAUGGAGCGUAAGGCAGGUGCGUGGAGGAGAAACUGCAUUAAGAGCUGAGACGUCAGUCACACCCGAGGACUCUGCCACCUGGAGAAGCCUAGGACCUGCCCUUCUCCCCACUGAUGCCAGACCGACUCCUAGCAGGAAGCAACCCCCC